CGGGGGGAGCAAGCGUUGUUCGGAUUUACUGGGCGUAAAGGGCGCGUAGGCGGCGCAACAAGUCACUUGUGAAAUCUCCGGGCUUAACCCGGAGCGGUCAAGUGAUACUGUCGUGCUAGAGUGCGGAAGGGGCAACUGGAAUUCUCGGUGUAGCGGUGAAAUGCGUAGAUAUCGAGAGGAACACCUGCGGCGAAGGCGGUUGCUGGGCCGACACUGACGCUGAGGCGCGAAAGCCAGGGGAGCGAACGGGAUUAGAUACCCCGGUAGUCCUGGCCUUAAACGAUGGAUGCUUGGUGUCCGGGGUAAUAAAGUCCCCGGGUGCCGUCGCUAACGCUUUAAGCAUCCCGCCUGGGGAGUACGCACGCAAGUGUG
rnacentral:rRNA from 1 species